CCGGCGGAGAAGGACGGACUCGCGCUCUGCCGAGGGACCCCGUGCGUGGUCGCAGCUUUCUUCCCGGAGCCCACCCGAGCGGCGGCGGCGGCGAGAUGCGCGGCGGCGGCGCGGGGGUCGCGCUCCUGGCCUCGCUACUCUGGGUCGCCGCGCGUUGCCAGCAGAGAGGAGCUCUACCUGCCCGCCUUUGGUUUAAGUCGAAGAACAGCUGUUCUCCUCCGGGCAUUCUGGGCUGACCCAUCCUCUUCUCGGGAACAGAACAAAGACAUACAGAAUUUAUGUCACAGAUGGAUUUUUGUUUGAUAAAAAUCACUUAUUACCGAAUGAAAGAAUGGCCCAUUCUCCUUAGAAA